GGCGCUACUGAUGAUAGUAUUUUACUGUCGUUCUUCUGAUUAUUUUAGUGAGGAGAACAUAGGAGACCUGAACUGAUCAGCGCA
rfam:Eimeria brunetti, Houghton, WGS project CBTX01000000 data, contig: Ebh_scaff5156_1